UGUAAGUACAGGGCAAGAGAAGUUAGUCUAAGCUCUUCACAAAAAUGAAAUAACUUGGCAGUACUAGUUAGUGCAUUAGUGUUUUCAGGGUUUUACAAUUUUGUAUAUGUCUGUACUUUUUAUUACAAAUGUUAAAAAUUUUAAAAAUUUAGCAAGUAAAAUUUGGGUCAGAAUUUUGUGGGAUUCAUUAAGCACCUUUGCAAAAUCUGUAGGACAUUUUUUAACCCCUCAACCUGGUGGAAAAACCUUUGUAUCAGUCAGAUCUGGGUGUAAUUCCAGCUUCACUACUUUAUAGUUUUGUGGGAUUGGUCAAAUUAACCAGCCUCAGGUUCUUCAGGUAAAUGACACAUGUAUAAAGUGCCUUGAAUACUUCUUGGGGCUUAGUGGAUAGAUUCUCAAUAAAUGUAAUUAUUUUAUUGUUAUUUUGAAGAAAUUGACUACAUUAAUAAUUACUACUUUUAAAAAGGUUCCAGUUUACUUUGGAAUGUAACUUAUUUUUGCUAAUGAGAGAUCAUUUGAUAAAUGUCUAUAAUGGGUAUUUUCAGAGGACCAUGUUGUAUUAAAAAAUCUCCAUAAUAAUGUUUCUUUUUAGAAUAUAUUAAAGUAAAAUUAUUGUAUAAUUUACCCAGUUAACUACUCAGUUAACCAUAAACACCUAAUUUUUUUACUCUGGAAACAGUAAGGGAGAAAGGUAUAAGAGGUGAAUUUUGGAGGACUUCCUUCAACCAUGCCAUCACAUCUGUCUGAAGUAUUCCAGGAACAUUGACCUCCUAUUCAUCUUCUGCUUUCAGAUGUAGAAAUGUGGAAAAAAUCACCCCCACACUAACAAUAAGAAAAUAAUGUAUAAAGUCAUAACUUUUCUGGGAUCCAACAGAAAUCUGAGGUCACUGGGAAACAAACUGGCCUGAAAUUUAAGGAAAAAUAGACACUUCCAAGGAGAGAGAAGAUGAAAGCACUGACUUACCUAUGGCGGAAGACAGGACCACCCUUGAAGCAGAUGGCUCUUCACUGAGGAUUCUGCUUCUCCUGAAACCAUCUAAAGACAAAGGCACAUUUUGGAAGUUGGAGUUUAGAGUGUGUGACAGCAAGACUGAAGACCUGAAGAGACUAUGGUGUUGAUCCUGCAGUUCAUGGAAAAGGAUGAUGGAAGCAGAGAGUAUGAUACGUCAAGUGCAAUAGUGAGAGUGAGAUGGGAGAUGGAGGAGAAUUUUGAGAAGAAUGGAGAAUAUUUGAAAUAGCCUCACUUAGAAAUGGAAUAGAGAACUGACAAGAAAUAUAGACGUGUAGGGUAUUUCAUCACAAAUAUAAAAUAAUUACUGGUUGCACUUUUGCAAUAUUUGUAUUUCUUACCCGACUUAGGUUAGAAAUUUAGUUGGUAAGCCCAAUUAUACCUAGUUGUAA